AACGAACGCUGGCGGCAUGCCUAACACAUGCAGGUCGAACGAGACCUUCGGGUCUAGUGGCGCACGGGUGCGUAACGCGUGGGAACCUGCCCUUAGGUUCGGAAUAACUCCCCGAAAGGGGUGCUAAUACCGGAUAAUGUCUUCGGACCAAAGAUUUAUCGCCUUUGGAUGGGCCCGCGUUGGAUUAGCUAGUUGGUAGGGUAAAAGCCUACCAAGGCGACGAUCCAUAGCUGGUCUGAGAGGAUGAUCAGCCACACUGGGACUGAGACACGGCCCAGACUCCUACGGGAGGCAGCAGUGGGGAAUAUUGGACAAUGGGCGAAAGCCUGAUCCAGCAAUGCUGCGUGAGUGAUGAAGGCCUUAGGGUUGUAAAGCUCUUUUACCCGGGAUGAUAAUGACAGUACCGGGAGAAUAAGCUCCGGCUAACUCCGU
rnacentral:rRNA from 1 species